GCUAAAGUAGCAAAAAUAGUGCAUUGGAUUUAAGAUCUAAAUAUGGUGAGUAUAUUCACCCAUUAGCA
rnacentral:tRNA from 1 species